UGAAAAGGUUCAACAUCAGUGGUUCAUACACUCUGAAUAUACCAUAUAAAUUUUCUACAGCUCAUCUUCCAAAUUGCAAAACAGAAAUUGUCCUUCGCACUGUAAAAGGAGCAUGUUGGACUGUGAAUUCCGUCCCAACAACAAGAGUUCACACAAGUCAUACUUUCUGCGGAGGAUGGAUGGCAUUUGUUCGCGGUAAUGACAUCAAAAUGGGAGAUGUUUGUAUUUUUGAACUUGUGCGCAAAUGUGAAUUGCGUGUCUUUAUUCUUCGAGUUGGAAAGGAAGUGCUGGAA
rnacentral:misc_RNA from 1 species